CGCCCUAAACGAUGAUCUACUAGUUGUCGGGUUUUAAUUAACUUGGUAACGCAGCUAACGCGUGAAGUAGACCGCCUGGGGAGUACGGUCGCAAGAUUAAAACUCAAAGGGAAUUUUNAGGNGACCCGCACAAGCGGCGGAUGAUGUGGAUUAAUUCGAUGCAACGCGGAAAACCUUACCUACCCUUGACAUGGAAGGAAUCCUGGAGAGAUCUGGGAGUGCCCGAAAGGGAACCUUCACUCNGGUGCUGCAUUCAUCGUCGUCAACUCAGGUGUCGUGAGAUGUUUGGGUUAAGUCCCGCAACCAGCGCACCCCUUGUNANUAGUUGCUACGCAAGAGCACUCUAAUGAGACUGCCGGUGACAAACCGGAGGAAGGUGGGGAUGACAUCAAGUCCUCCNGGGCCUUAUGGGUAGGGCUUCNCCCGUCAUCCAAUGGUANAANACAGAGGGCCGCCAACCCGCGAGGGGGAGCUAAUCCCAGAAAGUGUAUCNNUAGUCCGGAUUGUAGUCUGCAACUCGACUACAUGAAGUUGGAAUCGCUAGUAAUCGCGGAUCAGCAUGCCGCGGGUGAAUAC
rnacentral:rRNA from 1 species